UGUGACGGUGGAAUGUCUCCAGGUCUGUCUCCAUUCGCAAAUCAAGUCGAUGUGAAUAAGCUGGAAAGCAGAUAUGAAGGUUACGACAUAAUUCAGAUACAACAGCUCAAGUAGAAGCCCCGCGGUUCAGUUGAACGAAACCCCGGCCCAGACACCAGAUCCACUGAGGCGUCAAAAAAGAAUUCACUAUCACAAACCAAGCUACCAAGUUACAAUCAAGAAAAGGGAGGCAACUCAGGGGCGCUAAGUAUAGCUGACAUUCUUGUCCCUCUCCAACGUAUGGAGGAUAAAUUUGACCGCAUUAGUGUUAGCAUCCGGUCUGAUGUCAACAAGCUUGAGAAACAGUUAGGUGAUUGCGUGGAAAGCCUGAACGAUGUUUAACACUUGAGAACAGAAAAUAAGGCCUUGAAGGCCAAAGUUGGCUUUCCGAGAAAAUAGGAAGAGGCAUGGAUCUGUGCCAGGUGAGGGAACCUCCAAAGUUAUCAUCAAAGAAGACUACAGUCAGGAUGUCCGAGAGAAACAACGAAAACUCUAUCCCUACAUAGAAAGGGCUAGAGAGCUUUGUGGUGCAAAAUCGAAAAUAAUUUUACGGCAUGACAAGUUGUUG